AGUCUAUUCAGAGGAACCUGUCCUGUAAUUGAUAAUCCACGAUGAACCUUGCUUAAGUUUGUUUUUCAGUUUAUAUACCGUCGUUAUCAGAAUAUUUUAUUAGAAUAAUAAUUUUCUAUAAUUUUAAUAGGAAUGUAUAUCAGAUCAAGGUGUAGCUUAUAUUUGAGUAGAGAUGGGUUACAAUAAAUAUAUUUAAACGGAUCUAAUUAUGAAAUAUUUUUAGUGAAGGUGGAUUUGAUAGUAAAAUUUUAAAGAUUGUGAAUUUGAUUUUAGCUCUAGAAUAUGCACACAUCGCCCGUCGCUCUUACUAUUAAGGUAAGAUAAGUCGUAACAUAGUAGAUGUACCGGAAGGUGUAUCUAGAAUGA
rnacentral:rRNA from 1 species